rnacentral:rRNA from 1 species
UACGUAGGUGGCAAGCGUUGUCCGGAAUUACUGGGUGUAAAGCGCGUGUAGGCGGCAGACCAAGUCGGCGGUGAAAGCGCCCGGCUCAACUGGGCGAGGUCCGUGGAAACUGGUCAGCUGGAGGACGGUAGAGGCGAGUGGAAUUCCCGGUGUAGUGGUGAAAUGCGUAGAUAUCGGGAGGAACACCAGUGGCGAAGGCGACUAUCUGGGCUGCAACUGACGCUGAGGAGCGAAAGCGUGGGGAGCGAACAGG